GAUCCUGCCAGUAGUCAUAUGCUUGUCUCAAAGAUUAAGCCAUGCAAGUCUGAGUAUAAUUGUUUUACGGUGAAACUGCGAAUGGCUCAUUAAAUCAGUUAUAGUUUAUUUGAUGCUAUAGGUCGAAAGGCCACUACAUGGAUAUCUGUAGUAACAUAGAGCUAAUACAUGCAAUAUAGUCUGACUUUUUGGAAGGACUAGCACUUAUUAGAUAUUAAACCAAUCCCAGCAAUGGGUUUCUUGGUGAUUCAUAGUAACUGAACAAAUCACAUGGUCUUGUACCGGUGAUGUUUUCAUUCAAAAUUUCUGCCCUAUCAACUAGAUGGUAGUAUAUAGGACUAUCAUGGUUGUAACGGGUAACGGAGGAUUAGGGUUUGAUUCCGGAGAAGGAGCAUGAGAAACGGCGUACUA
rnacentral:rRNA from 1 species